AAGGAAGCACACUCCGGUCAUAGAUUAAGCCAUGCAAGUGUUAGUUCAGGCAACGAAACUGCGAAUAGCUCAUUAAUACGCUCAGAAUCUAUUUGGCAGCACUCUCUAGGGGGCUUAAAUGGAUAGCAGCAGAAAUUCUGGUGCUAAUACAUGCAAUUGUUUCGUCUGAUGUGAAUUAUGACGGAAAAGUUGACCGCAAGGCAUGCCAUUCGAUUGAGCGACCUAUCAGCUUGUACUUAGGGUCUUUACCUAGGUAGGCGAUCACGGGUAACGGGCGGUUACCGUCGGACUGCCGGAGAAGGCGCCUGAGAGAUAGCGACUAUAUCCACGGGUAGCAGCAGGCGCGAAACUUACCCACUCGAGACUUUCGGAGGUGGUAAUGACCAGUUUUAGAUCAGCUCCUCAUGGGGUUGUUUGAAUAGGAUUACACCCUUCCAGUGUAGUGUAACCUAGCAGAGGGCCAGUCUGGUGCCAGCAGCUGCGGUAAUUCCAGCUCUGCGAGUUUCCUCCCAUAUUGUUGCAGUUAAAACGCCCGUAGUCUGAAUUGUUUUACCUAUGCAAGUUCGCUUGCKUUCACUGUGAACAAAUCAGGACGCUUAGUGUAGGGUUACUUGAAUGACUCAGCGCAGUAUGAUAUCUUUACCUUUGAGGUAAGAUCAAUGAGAGCCACCKGGGGUAGAUCUAUUUCAUUGGCGAGCCGUGGAAUGCUCUGACCCAUGAGAGAGAAACGAAGGCGAAGGCAUCUACCUAGCGGGUUUCUGUCGAUGAAGGGCGAGAGUAGGAGUAUCCAACCGGAUUAGAGACCCGGGUAGUUCCUACCUUAAACGAUGCCGACAAGGGCUUAUCCUGAUCUCAGGGUAGGACCUUAGGAGAAAUCAUAGUUCUUGGGCUCUGGGGGAACUACGACCGCAAGGCUGAAACUUGAAGGAAUUGACGGAAGGGCACACCAGGGGUGGAGCUUGUGGCUUAAUUUGAAUCAACACGGGAAAACUUACCAGGACCAGAUGUUUUUUAUGACUGACAGGCUUCCGGUCUUUCAGGAUUUGACUUUUGGUGGUGCAUGGCCGUUGGUGGUGCGUGGGUUGACCUGUCUAGCGUUGAUUCAGAUAACGAGCGAGAUUAUCACCAAUUAAUACCUAGGUUUGGUCUCAAAACUAGGUUCCAAUUGGGACUCCCUGCGUUUAAGCAGGCGGAAGAGGGUAGCAAUAACAGGUCCGUGAUGUCCUUUAGAUGCUCUGGGCUGCACGCGCGCUACAAUGUGAGGAUCAAUGAGUUGCUAAGUCGUCAGAUAAUGCUACUCUCUCAAUACCUCACGUAGUUGGGACUGAUGGUUGUAAUCACCAUCACGAACCAGGAAUCCCUUGUAAAUGUGUGUCGACAGCGCACGUUGAAUACGUCCCUGCCCUUUGUACACACCGCCCGUCGCUCCUACCGAUUGAAUGAUUCGGUGAAAUCACUGGAGGGGCUUGCCCCAAAGGUAAUUAAAUCAUAUUAUCUAGA
rnacentral:rRNA from 1 species